rnacentral:tRNA from 1 species
UCUUAGAUGACUGAGGUAUAAGUGCUAGACUUUUAAUCUAGCUACGGCUGACAUAUAGCCUCUAAGAG